CCUACGGGAGGCAGCAGUGAGGAAUCUUCCACAAUGGGCGAAAGCCUGAUGGAGCAACGCCGCGUGCAGGAUGAAGGCCUUCGGGUUGUAAACUGCUUUUAUGAGUGAAGAAUAUGACGGUAACUCAUGAAUAAGCACCGGCUAACUACGUGCCAGCAGCCGCGGUAAU
rnacentral:rRNA from 1 species